rnacentral:tRNA from 1 species
UCCUCAGUAGCUCAGUGGUAGAGCGAUCGACUGUUAAUCGAUUGGUCGCAUGGUUCGAAUCCAGCUGGGGAG